rnacentral:misc_RNA from 1 species
UUUUCAUAAUGAACAAGAGUAUCCUUCAUUGAAGCCUUGUAGUCUCAGUCAACUAGAAGUUUCAGUUGGCAACACUGUCCCUAUGCUUGGAUGUCAUUAUAGACAACCAGCAGCUUUGCCUCGUCAAAGUUCACAGAUCAAACGACGGUGGUCCAAAUCUAGGAUUAAAAUAUGACCGGCCUGCUCCUGAAAGGGGACAGACUGUGCGUUCCGUAGGUGAACCUGCGGAAGGAUCAUUACUGAGAACUUGCCCUUAGGGGUAGAUCUCCCACCCUAUGUUUACAUACUUUGUUGCUUUGGCAGGCCUGCCUUUUGGCUGCUGGCUUCGGCUAGUUAGUGUCUGCCAGAGAACCAACACUAUGAUUAAUUUAAUGUCAGAGUACCAUUCAAUAGUUAAAACUUUCAACAACGGAUCUCUUGGUUCUG